GACGAACGCUGGUGGCAGGCCUAACACAUGCAAGUCGAACGAGUGGCGGACGGGUGAGUAAUGUCUGGGAAACUGCCCGAUGGAGGGGGAUAACUACUGGAAACGGUAGCUAAUACCGCAUACCAUCGGAUGUGCCCUGAUGGGAUUAGCUAGUAGGUGGGGUAACGGCCAACCUAGGCGACGAUCCCUAGCUGGUCUGAGAGGAUGACCAGCCACACUGGAACUGAGACACGGUCCAGACUCCUACGGGAGGCAGCAGUGGGGAAUAUUGGACAAUGGGCGAAAGCCUGACGCAGCCAUGCCGCGUGUAUGAAGAAGGCCUUCGGGUGGUAAAGUACUGUCAGCGAGGAGGCGUUACUCGCAGAGGAAGCACCGGCUAACUCCGUGCCAGCAGCCGCGGUAAUAC
rnacentral:rRNA from 1 species